rnacentral:rRNA from 1 species
AGUGAACGCUGGCGGUAGGCCUAACACAUGCAAGUCGAACGGCAGCACAGUAAGAGCUUGCUCUUACGGGUGGCGAGUGGCGGACGGGUGAGGAAUACAUCGGAAUCUACUUUUUCGUGGGGGAUAACGUAGGGAAACUUACGCUAAUACCGCAUACGACCUACGGGUGAAAGCAGGGGAUCUUCGGACCUUGCGCGAUUGUAUGAGCCGAUGUCGGAUUAGCUAGUUGGCGGGGUAAGGGCCCACCAAGGCGACGAUCCGUAGCUGGUCUGAGAGGAUGAUCAGCCACACUGGAACUGAGACACGGUCCAGACUCCUACGGGAGGCAGCAGUGGGGAAUAUUGGACAAUGGGCGCAAGCCUGAUCCAGCCAUACCGCGUGGGUGAAGAAGGCCUUCGGGUUGUAAAGCCCUGUUGUUGGGAAAGAAAAGCAGCGGGUUAAUACCCCGCUGUUCUGACGGUACCCAAAGAAUAAGCACCGGCUAACUUCGUG